rnacentral:rRNA from 1 species
GACGAACGCUGGCGGCGUGCCUAAUACAUGCAAGUCGAGCGGACAGAAGGGAGCUUGCUCCCGGAAGUUAGCGGCGGACGGGUGAGUAACACGUGGGUAACCUGCCCCUUAGACUGGGAUAACUCCGGGAAACCGGAGCUAAUACGGGAUAAUAAAGAGAAUCGCCUGAUUUUCUUUUGAAAGACGGUUUCGGCUGUCACUAAGGGAUGGACCUGCGGCGCAUUAGCUAGUUGGUAAGGUAACGGCUUACCAAGGCGACGAUGCGUAGCCGACCUGAGAGGGUGAUCGGCCACACUGGGACUGAGACACGGCCCAGACUCCUACGGGAGGCAGCAGGAGGGAAUCUUCCGCAAUGGACGAAAGUCUGACGGAGCAACGCCGCGUGAGUGAGGAAGGCCUUCGGGACGUAAAGCUCUGUUGUGAGGGAAGAACAAGUGCCGGGGUAACUACCGGCACCUUGGCGGUACCUCACCAGAAAGCCACGGCUAACUACGUGCCAGCAGCCGCGGUAA